rnacentral:tRNA from 1 species
UCUCAGGUGGAUCAUUGGUAAAGAACCUGCCUGUAAAGCAGGAGAGGCAAGUUCGAUCCCUUGUUUGAGAA